rnacentral:lncRNA from 1 species
UGUUUCUGAUCAUAAGAUAUUAUUCAGAAGUAAAUUUUGUAAAAAAAAACAUCACUUUUUCCGUAUUUUACUUAUAAAUGGACUUAGUUUUUCUUCCAGUUAACAUUACAUACAGUCUGCAGUUGAAGUUUAUAAAACAUUUAUUAGAUUCAUAACCUAUCCUGGAUUUUUUUCCAAAGUUGGAAGCUUCUUUCAAUCAAAAGACAGUAUCGAGAGGGAAAUUUUUAUUGAUGUUUUUCCUCAUUUUUGUUGAGUCU